rnacentral:rRNA from 1 species
CUGGCUCAGGAUGAACGCUAGCGACAGGCCUAACACAUGCAAGUCGAGGGGCAUCGGGGCGAGGAGCAAUCCUUGCCGCCGGCGACCGGCGCACGGGUGAGUAACGCGUAUGCGACCUGCCCGUUGCAGGGGGAUAAUCGGGAGAAAUCCCGUCUAAUACCGCGUAAUGCCGCGGGGCUGCAUGGCCCUGCGGCCAAAGGAAGCGAUUCCGGCAACGGAUGGGCAUGCGUAACAUUAGCUAGUUGGCGGGGCAACGGCCCACCAAGGCGACGAUGUCUAGGGGUUCUGAGAGGAAGGUCCCCCACACUGGUACUGAAACACGGACCAGACUCCUACGGGAGGCAGCAGUGAGGAAUAUUGGUCAAUGGGCGUGAGCCUGAACCAGCCAAGUCGCGUGAGGGAUGACGGCCCUACGGGUUGUAAACCUCUUUUGUCGGGGAGCAAAUUCCGCCACGCGUGGCGGAGUCGAGAGUACCCGAAGAAAAAGCAUCGGCUAACUCCGUGCCAGCAGCCGCGGUAAUACGGAGGAUGCGAGCGUUAUCCGGAUUUAUUGGGUUUAAAGGGUGCGUAGGCGGACUGUCAAGUCAGCGGUAAAAUACGGGGGCUCAACCUCCGCCCGCCGUUGAAACUGACGGUCUUGAGUGGGCGAGAAGUAUGCGGAAUGCGUGGUGUAGCGGUGAAAUGCAUAGAUAUCACGCAGAACUCCGAUUGCGAAGGCAGCAUACCGGCGCCCAACUGACGCUGAAGCACGAAAGCGUGGGUAUCGAACAGGAUUAGAUACCCUGGUAGUCCACGCAGUAAACGAUGAAUACUAGCUGUCCGGGGCGAAUGAGCCCUGGGUGGCACAGCGAAAGCGUUAAGUAUUCCACCUGGGGAGUACGCCGGCAACGGUGAAACUCAAAGGAAUUGACGGGGGCCCGCACAAGCGGAGGAACAUGUGGUUUAAUUCGAUGAUACGCGAGGAACCUUACCCGGGCUCAAACGACACAGGAACGUACCUGAAAGGGUUCGGCUCUACGGAGCCUGUGUCGAGGUGCUGCAUGGUUGUCGUCAGCUCGUGCCGUGAGGUGUCGGCUUAAGUGCCAUAACGAGCGCAACCCCCAUCGACAGUUGCUAACAGGUCAGGCUGAGGACUCUGUCGAGACUGCCGGCGCAAGCUGCGAGGAAGGCGGGGAUGACGUCAAAUCAGCACGGCCCUUACGUCCGGGGCGACACACGUGUUACAAUGGCAGGUACAGCGGGAAGCCACCUGGCGACAGGGAGCGGAACCCGAAAGCCUGUCUCAGUUCGGAUUGGAGUCUGCAACCCGACUCCAUGAAGCUGGAUUCGCUAGUAAUCGCGCAGCAGCCACGGCGCGGUGAAUACGUUCCCGGGCCUUGUACACACCGCCCGUCAAGCCAUGGAAGCCGGGGGUGCCUGAAGUGCGCUGCCGCGAGGAGCGCCCUAGGGUAAAACCGGUGACUGGGGCUAAGUCGUAACAAGGUA